CGUCAUUCCUCCUGCAAAUCCUACAUCUUAAAAUAUGCAGCAAAGUUGCCGCGGAGUUUUGCGAGUAUUACAACUAAGGAAGCAAGUAAAAAAAAAAAAAGUCGGCGCUGGCGGCAACCGUCUUCGAUUUGGGAUGAACUCGGAAACACAGGAACAUGGAUCUAACAGCGGACUUUGAUUUUAUCAUGCCUUGGGUGCUGCCUGAUCCUGCUAGUCAAUCCGAGGAACCGGGCUUGUUCUCACUGUUCUAGCCCAAGCAUCUGCUCCAAAUAAGGGGGAAGUCGUUGUGGGAGGUGGCAGCAAAUGCAAUGAAACCACUGCAUUAUCGCGGUCCUCAGGGGCCUGACCAGCCCGCCGUCUUCCGAGCGCUGAGCGACCAGCCUACCCACGUCAGCUCCCUGCCCUGAAAGCUCUGGCAAGCCCACCGUCCUCGGCACUUUGCCUAAAUCUUAUCCUCAGGGCCCUGCCUAAUCCACCGUCAUCCACCUAGCUUCACGAGAGAUGGCUAUUUGGCACUUGUUUGCAAAUAAACUGUUUUAA